UACGUAGGGGGCAAGCGUUGUCCGGAUUUAUUGGGCGUAAAGAGCGUGUAGGCGGCCUGACAGGUCUGCUGUGAAAACUCGAGGCUCAACCUCGAGAUGUCGGCGGAAACCGUCUGGCUAGAGUCCGGAAGAGGCGAGUGGAAUUCCCGGUGUAGCGGUGAAAUGCGCAGAUAUCGGGAGGAACACCAAUGGCGAAGGCAGCUCGCUGGGACGGUACUGACGCUGAGGCGCGAAAGCGUGGGGAGCAAACAGG
rnacentral:rRNA from 1 species